ensembl:lncRNA
GCGGCGGAGAAGGAUGCUUUUCCAGUCUGCAGAGCUGGCUGGGCCUAAGGGAGAACUUCCCAUCAAAAAAUUGCUUGCAGGAAACAUUAGGCCGCCCUUCUCCUGUGCAAAGGUGAAAUGGCUGCACGUCGAGCAAGAAACGUGAGGGUCCCCAGCCACGCAUUUAGUAUCUCAAGCAAUGAAGUUAUUACACUGUAGAAAGAGGACAUACAAGCCUCAUGCAACCUUUCCUAAGAUUUUCUCUUCUGCUGGUCCAGUUUGGAUGUCAUUCUGUUUCUUACAACCAAUGGCUAAGUGUGAAAUGUCCCCAUUUUAAAGAGUUGGCAAUGGAUCCAAAUGAACUAAACAAAGUAAAAUGAAACACUACGAGAAUCUAAAUGAGGCGGGGAAGGAAACAAAGAAAGGAGGAGGGAAAGACAUCAAAUGCUCGUUCACAUCGUUUAUUCGCCCUUCUGCCUCCGGUUCUGCCACCUCUGCUGAGAGAUCCACAUGACAACCUCUUUCUGUGAUAAACCUAGACGAUAUCGUCGUGUUUGCGUUGAGGAAAGCAUUAUUCAAAUCCAGAAGGUGAAAAUAUCCCAGAGCUCUUACAAAAAAAGAAAAAAAGAAGAAGUGUUAUUAACCAGAGCCCUGGAGUCCCCAUGGAGAGGAGACUUGGCUCUGGCAAGGGUGAUUCUUAACCUCUUGUAUUCUUUUCAGUCUGCAAAUCCUACACUGUGGGAACCUCAGAAAAGGAGCCAGACUUUUCCAUUGACUCCAAGGCUGUGUCAGCACAUGCCAGACCCAGCAGGCCCUUUGUAUUAUAGGCUAAGGGUCCAAACAGCUGUAAAUAGUUUAUGCCAGGAUCCCUACAAGUGUGACAAACACACAGCAUUCUAAGUGCCUCAGCAGGCCAGUUAAAGCUAGGAGACAGCCCAGAUGACAAUCUCUGAAUACCGUGGCCACACCUCUCAGGGCUGAUGGCCAUGGUGGUUUUUUCUGUUCUCUCCUCAUCAGAAAUGACUCUAGGGUUGGAAGUUAGUUAUCCAUGGGUUUGCUUUAGUUUUUAGUGAAGGAUUUUUGGAACUCUGUCUUUCCUAAAGCAAAAUGACUGCCUACAUGUUGAAUUCCUACGUCUUCUUCUGUAUGCCCUCUCGAGUGACUU